CGAGUAUUGUGUAACUUCACUGGUAUUGGUAUCGACUACCGAAUUUCUGGUAUCGUGACAACCCUACUUCAUAUAACUGACAUGACAAACCUGUAA